rnacentral:rRNA from 1 species
UGGGGAAUAUUGGACAAUGGGCGAAAGCCUGAUCCAGCCAUGCCGCGUGAGUGACGAAGGCCUUAGGGUUGUAAAACUCUUUCGUCGGGGACGAUAAUGACGGUACCCGAAGAAGAAGCUCCGGCUAACUUCGUGCCAGCAGCCGCGGUAAUACGAAGGGAGCUAGCGUUGUUCGGAAUCACUGGGCGUAAAGCGCACGUAGGCGGAUAGUUAAGUCAGGGGUGAAAUCCUGGGGCUCAACCCCAGAACUGCCUUUGAUACUGGCUGUCUCGAGGUCGAGAGAGGUUGGUGGAAUUCCUAGUGUAGAGGUGAAAUUCGUAGAUAUUAGGAAGAACACCAGUGGCGAAGGCGGCCAACUGGCUCGAUACUGACGCUGAGGUGCGAAAGCGUGGGGAGCAAACAGGAUUAGAUACCCACGUAGUCCCUGAGCGGGCUGGCAAGGCG